GAUGAACGCUGGCGGCGUGCCUAAUACAUGCAAGUCGAGCGAACAGACGAGGAGCUUGCUCCUCUGACGUUAGCGGCGGACGGGUGAGUAACACGUGGAUAACCUACCUAUAAGACUGGGAUAACUUCGGGAAACCGGAGCUAAUACCGGAUAAUAUAUUGAACCGCAUGGUUCAAUAGUGAAAGACGGUUUUGCUGUCACUUAUAGAUGGAUCCGCGCCGCAUUAGCUAGUUGGUAAGGUAACGGCUUACCAAGGCAACGAUGCGUAGCCGACCUGAGAGAGUGAUCGGCCACACUGGAACUGAGACACGGUCCAGACUCCUACGGGAGGCAGCAGUAGGGAAUCUUCCGCAAUAGGCGAAAGCUUGACGGAGCAACGCCGCGUGAGUGAUGAAGGUCUUCGGAUCGUAAAACUCUGUUAUUAGGGAAGAACAAAUGUGUAAGUAACUAUGCACGUCUUGACGGUACCUAAUCAGAAAGCCACGGCUAACUACGUG
rnacentral:rRNA from 1 species